CUGAAAACAAGUACUGUUGGUGGCAAGAAUGCUCUUUGAAGAAACUCCAACGUUUCUCCAAGUAAAUCGAUAUAGUCUUAAACUAAUGCAUUUGAACAGUGUUCUGAAGUCAGUGAAGUUGCUUGCUUUCCUAAACCAGAGUGUCUGGAUUCUGAACAACAGUUUGAAAUAGAAGUUUAACCAAAUAUUUACUAAUAUUUGCCUGAAGCACGUACUGAAUUUGGAUUUACAACUUAAGAAAUUAACUCCCUCAGUCAUGAAAGAAAAAUAAGACAACAACCAAACAGAAUUGCAACUGAAUGCUGGAUGACAGCAAAUCAUUUCUCACUUCUCUAACUGCUUUCUACCAGAUUCUUAUGAGUUACUUAUUUGCAUUUAUUUGGAGAUAGGUUGCUCCUUCUUUGCACUUUUGUCCCAGUGAGUCAGAAUGAGUCAGAACACAAGGACAAGAGAGGAACAUGAAGCUUCUCUGCAUAGGGUUUGAAGUGGAUGAGAGUUAUACGCCACCUACUCCUUUGUGGACACCUUACUGAGACAUCACAGAGAUGCUGCUCUCCCUGUCUGGAACAGCAUGGAAGUGAAUUUAAUCCUCACCAAAUGAUAAGGUUUCUUGAAGAAAGCUCUGAUGAGAUGUGGACUUACAGAAAGCCACUAGGAAGACUGUCACAUUGACCUGAAAGCUAUCAUCUCCCUCAUGUCGUGUGCUGCUGGCUCAGACAAGGACAGCAGACCUUCACUUCUUGUGGUGACUGCCCAUCCUCCUAUGUCCUCGGGUGUUCUGACACACCUAUUCAGGAGCUGACCAGACUGAAAGUGCUCCAGCAAGCAUUCAUCUUAUCAAGAGACAUCAGAAGCACAGAAAUUUCCUGGGUAAUUCCAGGAAAUUCAUGUACUCAUCAGUGUUUUGUUUCCCCACCCUUUCCAAAGAUUUCAGUCAUAUUUCAACAUGUAAAUACAAAUAAAUAUUUACAUAGAAAUAUAAAUUCCUCUUAGCUUCAGAAACUCUUGUGUUUGCCUUAAGUGAGAAAAGUCCUUCCCAAAGGGCCUCUGUACCAAAGUUCUGUAUAUGUAUUUAUGUAUACAUGUGCAUGUAUACAGUCGUAUGCGUACAUGCACAGUACUGACCACAGCCUUGGCUUCAAAGCUGCUGUAAUACCACUGUUAGAUGCUGUAGAACAGUGUUCUCUAUCAGAAAACAUUUAUUAACAGAGACAUACACAAAACUACACCACUAGGAACAAAGAAUGCUGGUCAUGCUCUUGUCUAGAAAGGCUUCAGUGAUGGUGAUACAUGAUUGUAUAGUACAGUGUUAGCAAAUGCAGUCUAAAACAUGUAAAAGAAGAUAUGCUUCCAGCCAGCACAAAAUUAAACCACUUUUGUUGCUCA